rnacentral:tRNA from 1 species
GCCCUUGUAGCUCAGUCGGUAGAGCGUAACCAUGGUAAGGUUAAGGUCUGCGGUUCGAUUCCGCACGGGGGCU